rnacentral:lncRNA from 1 species
AUGCUUGUUGGGAUGGAUGGUCCCCGACUCUCUAUUCACCCAAGUACCAAAACACUGCUGCUUCUGAAGAGUGUCACAGAACUGCACACAAUCCUGGAGAUUCGAGGCACCCCAAUCAUCAAUUCCCUCAUACGUGUCAGAUCUCUUUGCUUCUGUGGAUUAGACGUCGAAGUGGUCAAGAAAUAAGCCCUGAUUUAUAAGGAACACAAGAGAAUUAAUAUCAUAGCACAGCAGUUAAGAGAAUGGUCUCUGCAUUACGAUUCUUUCCAAAGUCAUAUCACAACACAUUCACCAGAAAGAAUGGUAUUUCAAAGACUGAUAUUCCCGAGCACUGGAGUGGAUGUGAAGCCACUGGAACUCUCUCACACAACUGAUGAUAAAGUAAAUCAAUACAGCCAGGCUGAAAAUAAGUUGGCACUCUUUCAAACAAUUUGGAAAAUGCCAAUUUACUGAGCAAAUACAGAACCUCCAAAGAACUCUAUUUCAAGGUAUAUUACUAAUAGAAAUGGUUAUAUAUGCCAACCAAAUAUGUGAAUGAUGGUUUAACAAUCUCAUUUGUAAUCUGGAAGCAAUCCAUACGUAUAUCUAAAGGAGAGAAAUGUUGUUUUAUAUACAUACCAAGGAAUACAAUACAAAAUCAGUUACUGCUAUAAACAACAAGAAAGAAUUUCACAAAUGUAACACUGAGUGAAAGUAGCUAGAUUCAAAAUAAUGCUCAUACUACAAUUUCAUUUGGACAGAGCUCUAACACAAAGCAGUUGAUGAUUAAGUCUGGAUAUUGAUAAACUCUGAGAAGGAGAGGAAUAGUGACUGGGACGGAGUAUAAGCGCUUCUCCGAAGCAUUUCCUGGGAAGAUAUUUCUAGCAUGAAACAAUGCAAUUACAAUUUUAUAUUUUGUGAUAUGAUUAUACCAGUAUCUUCACUUUGAAAAUUGGUCAAGGUAUAUAUUUGGUUUGUGCAAUUUUAGUAUGUGCUACAUGAAUAAAAAAUGAUAUGAAAUAAUAUGCA